CAUCUUUGCUUGUUCUGUGGGUGCACAGGAGUUGUGAAACAGAGAGCAGGGGGAGUGAGGCAUAGAAGGGGGAGAAGAACGAUGCUGGGUGGAAUUCUAGGUGGGAAAUUCUUCAACAAAUGCAAGCACUCGGCGAAGAACAUAAGGGCGAGGAUCGGGCCGAUACGAAGUAAGAAAC